CCCCCACCCCCCACCAGGCAGGGGUCGCGGGAGAUGGCGGGCGCCUUUCUGGUGGCUCCACGUCCUCCUUACUCCCGAAGUCCCGGCGGCCCCGAGUCUGCCCCAACUCCAGCAUCCGUUCUCCCCGAGCUGCGGCGGGGAAAACAAGAUCUGCUCUCCGCAGACAGUGGGCUGCCGGCGGUGGACCAGGGAGAGGUGGCGGGACCCCGGCUGCAGCCCGCUCAGCCGCUCCGCCCGGGCGCCGUCCCCAGCGCCUCCCGCGCCCGAGCUCCAGACACAAAGGCGGGGACACGAGCCCGGGACCCCGCGCCGGGAGCCUCCCAACUCCGUGCCGCGCACUCACCCCAUCGAGGCGGCGGCGGCGCUCCCCGGACCCAGCUGGCUGCUCCACCCCGCCCGCCGCUUCC
ensembl:lncRNA novel transcript